rnacentral:pre_miRNA from 1 species
GUAGUACUCCCUCCGUCCGAAAAUACUUGUCAUCAAAAUGAAUAAAAGGGGAUGUAUCUAGAUGUAUUUUAGUUCUAGAUACAUCUCUUUUUAUCCAUUUUGAUGACAAGUAUUUUCGGACGGAGGGAGUACUUG